rnacentral:rRNA from 1 species
AUACGUAGGGUGCGAGCGUUGUCCGGAAUUACUGGGCGUAAAGAGCUCGUAGGUGGUUUGUCGCGUCGUCUGUGAAAUUCCGGGGCUUAACUCCGGGCGUGCAGGCGAUACGGGCAUAACUUGAGUACUGUAGGGGAGACUGGAAUUCCUGGUGUAGCGGUGAAAUGCGCAGAUAUCAGGAGGAACACCGGUGGCGAAGGGGGGUCUCUGGGCAGUAACUGACGCUGAGGAGCGAAAGCAUGGGUAGCGAACAGGAUUAGAUACCCUGGUAGUCCAUGCCGUAAACGGUGGGCGCUAGGUGUAGGGGUCUUCCACGACUUCUGUGCCGUAGCUAACGCAUUAAGCGCCCCGCCUGGGGAGUACGGCCGCAAGGCUAAAACUCAAAGGAAUUGGCGGGG